rnacentral:lncRNA from 1 species
GUGGAUUAAGAGCGUAGACAUGGAGUGGAACAGAAAUAAAAAAUAUAAAAAUGGUACGGAGCUUUCCAUGCUUCCGGGGGCUGCUGCGGUGAUGGCCGUGGGGCCGUCUGCACUGUGCCGGCGGAUCCUGGGAGUCUCUCCAUGUCGAACGCGUAUCGUCAGCCAUGUCGUGGCCAGACAUAGUGUGGGUUUGCCGUCUAGCUGCCCAGCUGCUAUGUCCAUUUCCAUCAUCGGCUCUAUGUUCAAUUGUUUCAUCCAGUUGAUGUGUCAGGGAUCCGUUACAGAGUCGCAGUCCCUCUCUCACGCGCC